UACAGAGGUGGCAAGCGUUGUUCGGAAUUACUGGGCGUAAAGGGCUCGUAGGCGGCCAACUAAGUCAGACGUGAAAUCCCCAGGCUCAACCUGGGAACUGCGUCUGAUACUGGAUGGCUUGAAUUCGGGAGAGGGAUGCAGAAUUCCAGGUGUAGCGGUGAAAUGCGUAGAUAUCUGGAGGAAUACCGGUGGCGAAGGCGGCAUCCUGGACCGACAUUGACGCUGAUGAGCGAAAGCGUGGGGAGCGAACAGG
rnacentral:rRNA from 1 species